rnacentral:lncRNA from 1 species
UGGCAAGAACGGAGAGCGAAUGAAAGGCAAAACUGCCUCUCAAAAUCCAGGUGAGAGAAUGCCACACACCACACAGGUAUUGAUGGGCUCACACAUCUCCAUCAGCCCUGUCCUUGGAGGGAGGCUGAGCACUAAGGACAAGUUUGGCCUGGUGACUGAAGAUACUCUGUGGUUGGCCUUACGGGUCAGUUUAUCCUUCUGGAAAGCUGUCCCUAGAGGUUUGGGUGUGACAGCUCCUGCCUUCAUUCCCUCAGCCUUGAUUACAGUGGUGGUAGGGAUCAAAUGCCCAGGAUUUUCCAGUCUGCCUGUUGCCAAUAUGAGUGCUUGCCUAUUACCCAAGGGUCCUCAUGAGACACCUCUGGCCGGCAGCCCAAGUGCCGUGGGGGUAGUAAUAAACUCUUACUGCUUUGUAAGUGCAGCCUUCAGCACAGACCCUGGCCAAAAGCGUCUGAUUCUUAUCAGAGGCUGAAGGACAGGUUUUGCUGGAGUUUCUAUGCCCAAACUUGAAAAGCAAGUUCAUCUGCCCCUUUACUCUGCAAACAUGGGGUUCCAUCUUAUUCUUGAGAAAAGGCCAAACACUCCGCCUCCAUAAUGACUCUAGAGAUCACUGUGUGGCCUAGUGACCACUGGCUGCUGGUCACUGGAGCAAGGCUGACCAACUGUGACACUUUGCCUGGGACUGAGAGGUCUCCUGGGACUUGGGAUGUUCAAUGCUAAAACCGGGGAAGUCCCAAGCAAUCCGGGAUGAGUUGAUCACUUUAACCAGAACUGAUCCUUGUCCUCUUAGACCAGCUCCUCAGCAUCCACACGAUGUACAACUCAGCCAAAAUCCAUGGUGGAAGGACAAAGAAAGAGCUGGAUCUGGAACAACCGAGGCCCCGCUGUUCUUUGCCUUGUUUAGGACUCUCACUGUGUUCAGAACCCUCGUAGACAUAGGGUAGUCUUCGUCCUCCUAGACUUGGCAAGGGAAGGAGAGAGGAGGAACAGGGAUUGUCAUCCCCACAUGCCUGGACAGUAUUCUAAGUCCCUUCCAAAAUGGAAUGUUGAUAGUUAUUUGUAGGUUGAGAAAUGUAUGACUA